rnacentral:rRNA from 1 species
UACAGAGGUCUCAAGCGUUGUUCGGAUUCAUUGGGCGUAAAGGGUGCGUAGGCGGCGCGGUAAGUCGGGUGUGAAAUCUUGGAGCUUAACUCCGAAACUGCAUUCGAUACUGCCGUGCUUGAGGACUGGAGAGGAGACUGGAAUUUACGGUGUAGCAGUGAAAUGCGUAGAUAUCGUAAGGAAGACCAGUGGCGAAGGCGGGUCUCUGGACAGUUCCUGACGCUGAGGCACGAAGGCCAGGGGAGCAAACGGG